GACGAACGCUGGCGGCGUGCUUAACACAUGCCAGUCGAACGGAAAGGCCCUGCUUUUGUGGGGUGCUCGAGUGGCGAACGGGUGAGUAACACGUGAGUAACCUGCCCUUGACUUUGGGAUAACUUCAGGAAACUGGGGCUAAUACCGGAUAGGAGCUCCUGCUGCAUGGUGGGGGUUGGAAAGUUUCGGCGGUUGGGGAUGGACUCGCGGCUUUUCAGCUUGUUGGUGGGGUAGUGGCUUACCAAGGCUUUGACGGGUAGCCGGCCUGAGAGGGUGACCGGCCACAUUGGGACUGAGAUACGGCCCAGACUCCUACGGGAGGCAGCAGUGGGGAAUAUUGCACAAUGGGCGGAAGCCUGAUGCAGCAACGCCGCGUGCGGGAUGACGGCCUUCGGGUUGUAAACCGCUUUCGCCUGUGACGAAGCGUGAGUGACGGUAAUGGGUAAAGAAGCACCGGCUAACUACGUG
rnacentral:rRNA from 1 species